CAGCUGGACAACUUUUAACCCAAACAACAGUGGGGCGAAUCUUUAACCAAACAGUGGGACAACAAUUUAACCAAACAACAGCAGGACGACCUUUGAGCCAAACAACUGUAGGACAACAGUCCAACCAAACAACAGGACCCUUCUACCCAUUUGGAACUGGAGACAUAGUAAAUGACCGGUUGGAUGAUGGCAGUUCAUCUGUUAUCACUCUUCAGCAACCAUUUAUAUAUUUUGGAACCACAUAC